UUAGAACGAUUUGUUCGAAGUGUCCACACAGAUGAUUGUUAAAUUAAUUGAGAACAACAAUUGAUUGUGGGUCUGUAGCUCAGCUGGUUAGAGCGCACCCCUGAUAAGGGUGAGGUCGGUAGUUCAAGUCUACUCAGACCCACCACUUUUCCUUCCCAAGGAUUUGUGGCUAAACAAUCAAACCACUUUAUAGUGGGGCUAUAGCUCAGCUGGGAGAGCGCCUGCCUUGCACGCAGGAGGUCAGCAGUUCGAUCCUGCUUAGCUCCACCAUUUCUCUUCUUAAACCUAAAUAAAUUAAAUCAGUUGAUUUAGUUUUGAGAAGAUAAUUCUCGAUUGCUCUUUAAAAAUUUGGAAAGCUGAUAAAACUUUAAAUUAUUCAUUUCUUAGGAAAUGUAAUUUAUUUAGAGUUCUCAAAAAAAAGUAAAGAAAAUAUGCCGCAUACUCUUAUUUAAGAAUAUGUUGGUAUCUACUUUAGUAUUCAAUAUUUAACUUCUGGCGGAGUUAAAAAAUCAGUCUUUGAUUUACAACUCAAAACUAUUUUGGGUUGUAUGGUUAAGUGACUAAGCGUAUACGGUGGAUGCCUUGGC
rnacentral:tRNA from 1 species